ACACACACACACACACACACACACACACACACUGUGUGUGUGUGUGUGUGUGUGUGUGUGU
rnacentral:miRNA from 1 species